rnacentral:misc_RNA from 1 species
AUAACUUCUCUAGUCCAUUGAUCUUGUAGAAAACAAUGUUUGGGGAAAAAGGUUACAACAAUGUUAGAUGUGGCAGCAUGUUUACUCACAGAUAGCAAAUUGUAUUUAAAUGUAGGAAUGUAUAACACAUCCAGCAAAUGAAGUUUGGGGUGUAAACUGAUAUUACCUACUUUCUGAAUAUAUUGUUUGGUUCCGUCUGGCA